UAACAAAAAUGGCGUCCAUGCGGCCUCAACAUCCUGUGCCUUUCCUCGCUGCCCUUACUCCCGAGGCGGAAAAGCGGAAGAUUGGACCCCAAGGCCGGAAGACCCGGUAGGUGACGUGCGUUGAUUGGACAGCUUCGGUGGCUGGGGAAGAAGGACGGCUAUGAUUGGUCCGCCCAGGGCGGCCCUGUUUGAAAGACUAGGGUGAAGGAGCGACUGGGCUGAAGGCGGCCGUGUAUGAAGAGCUUCUGGGUCUCUCGUAACUCUUCCUGGACAGCACCUGAAAGAGAGGGUCUCACGAGUUGAAGCCGCUGCUUCUGCAAUGCCAUAAAUGGUCUUGCGGGCAGGUGCAAAGUCCAGGGCUUGGAGGCGAGUAAGAAGCGAAGACCAGGCGGACUCUGAAGACCCAGAAGCUGAGAGACAAAGGCCUCUGGUGAAAGCUCACGGGCGGCAGAACCGGGGUUUAGUCAUUUGCUUCCCAGCCUCAGCCAAAUGCUUGGUGCGGCGCCCUGCACAGAGGAUUAAAGUCUCAGCGCUCUCAAGCUGUUACCAGCCCCUGUGACAUGCGUUGGAUCCCAAUCCCGGGCUAAGGAGUUGACCCACAUGGCCCAGCGGACCUCUCCUGUCUCUCCCGCUGC